rnacentral:rRNA from 1 species
AGAGUUUGAUCAUGGCUCAGAUUGAACGCUGGCGGCAGGCUUAACACAUGCAAGUCGAACGGAAACAGAAAGUAGCUUGCUACUUUGCUGUCGAGUGGCGGACGGGUGAGUAAUGCUUGGGAAUAUGCCAAAACGUGGGGGACAACAGUUGGAAACGACUGCUAAUACCGCAUAAUGUCUUCGGACCAAAGCAGGGGACCUUCGGGCCUUGCGCGUUUUGAUUAGCCCAAGUGGGAUUAGCUAGUUGGUAAGGUAAUGGCUUACCAAGGCGACGAUCCCUAGCUGGUCUGAGAGGAUGACCAGCCACACUGGNACUGAGACACGGUCCAGACUCCUACGGGAGGCAGCAGUGGGGAAUAUUGCACAAUGGAGGGAANUCUGAUGCAGCCAUNCCGCGUGUGUGAAGAAGGCUUUCGGGUUGUAAAGCACUUUCAGNGGGGAGGAAAGGGUUGUAGUUAAUAGCUGCAAUCUGUGACGUUACCCACAGAAGAAGCACCGGCUAACUUCGUGCCAGCAGCCGCGGUAAUACGAGGGGUGCAAGCGUUAAUCGGAAUUACUGGGCGUAAAGCGUGGGUUUCCAAGNUAACGCAUUAANUUGACCGCCUGGGGANUACGGCCGCAAGGUUAAAACUCAAAUGAAUUGACGGGGGCCCGCACAAGCCGUGGAGCAUGUGGUUUAAUUCGAUGCAACGCGAAGAACCUUACCUCCCCUUGACAUCCAGAGAGNUCCCUAGAGAUAGAUGAGUGCCUUCGGGAACUCUGAGACAGGUGCUGCAUGGCUGUCGUCAGCUCGUGUUGUGAAAUGUUGGGUUAAGUCCCGCAACGAGCGCAACCCNUAUCCUUAUUUGCCAGCGAGUUAUGUCGGGAACUAUAGGGAGACUGCCGGUGAUAAACCGGAGGAAGGUGGGGACGACGACANGUCAUCAUGNCCCUUACGGGAUGGGCUACACACGUGCUACAAUGGCAGAUACAAAGGGUUGCUAACCUGCGAGGGUAUGCGAAUCUCAUAAAGUCUGUCGUAGUCCGGAUCGGAGUCUGCAACUCGACUCCGUGAAGUNGGAAUCGCUAGUAAUCGUGGAUCAGAAUGCCACGGUGAAUACGUUCCCGGGCNUUGUACACACCGCCCGUCACACCAUGGGAGUGGGCUGCACCAGAAGUCAUUAGCUUAACCUUCGGGGAUGGCGAUGACCACGGUGUGGUUCAUGACUGGGGUGAAGUCGUAACAAGGUAGCC